GGGUGACUGAUUGUACCCGCCAGCUGCCUAAUAUCAUAAUUAACGAAGUUGUUACUACGUCUGCAAAGUUUAAUCAAAAAUUUUACCAGGGAUAUGAUGGCAUUGCCACAAAGAUCACAAGGGACGUGGAGUCGACUUCUGCUCAAGGUGAAGUGGCGAGGCUGUGUAGCCAAGAUGAGAAACUGCAAACUUGGUCAGCCAAA
rnacentral:lncRNA from 1 species